UACGUAGGUGGCAAGCGUUGUCCGGAUUUACUGGGCGUAAAGAGCGCGCAGGCGGUCUGAUAAGUCGGAUGUGAAAGCCCCCGGCUUAACUGGGGAGGGUCAUUCGAUACUGUUCGACUCGAGGGCAGGAGAGGGAAGCGGAAUUCCCGGUGUAGUGGUGAAAUGCGUAGAUAUCGGGAGGAACACCAGUGGCGAAGGCGGCUUCCUGGCCUGUUCUUGACGCUGAGGCGCGAAAGCGAGGGGAGCAAACGGG
rnacentral:rRNA from 1 species